GCUCAGAACCCUAAUUUUGUCCCCCUUAACAGAGAAAAAUCGUCUCCUCUCUAUUACUCAAAAUUCAUAAUUACAAAACUCAACAUUCAGUCUCAAAGGUGGGUUCAAUGUCCGAUUCAACUGCUACAUCAAAGAGGAGGUGCCAUUGUGGAGAGAUUGCCAAGAACUUCAAAUCAAUCACACCUCAAAAUCCCGGAAGGAGAUUCUAUAAGUGUGUUAAACCUGAAAAUGAGUCGUGCGUAUGUUGGGAAUGGUAAGACGAAGCCUAUCCGGACAGAGCGUUGAUAGAAAUCAACAAGUUGCAGUGUAAAUUAGAUAUUGCUAAUGUGACAAUCAAUAUGUUGAAUCAGUUGUUAGAUACGUGCAAAGUUAAAAGGAAAAAAUUGCUGGAAAAAGUUGAUGUAUUAGAGACUGUAAAAAAUAUUAAAGUGAAUAAAGCAAGGGAGAUGGAAGAGAAAUUGUUGAAGAUGAAGAUAUUUAUUUUGAUAUCAUUUUCAUUAUUUGUUGGCUUUCUUACGGCAAUGAUGAUGAAGUAAUGCAUUAGUUAAGACCAAUUAGUGCUUAUUGUUUUUGAUGAAGUUAAAUGUUGUUGAUGAAAUGUAUUGUGUAGUGCCUACUGAUUUGUGUAUUGUGUAUUGUGCCUACUAAUUUGUGUAGUGCCUACUUAAAUGUAUUGUGUAGUGCCUACUGAUUUGUGUAUUGUGUAUUGUGCCUACUAAUUUGUGUAGUGCCUACUUAAAUGUAUUGUGUAGUGCCUACUGAUUUGUGUAUUGUGUAUUGUGCCUACUAAUUUGUGUAGUGCCUACUUAAAUGUAUUGUGUAGUGCCUACUGAAAUGUAUUUUUGAUGAAGUUAUGAAAAUAUUUCUACUUUGUGUAA